rnacentral:rRNA from 1 species
AGCAGCCGCGGUAAUUCCAGCUCCAAUAGCGUAUAUUAAAGUUGUUGCAGUUAAAAAGCUCGUAGUUGAAUUUCGGGGUCAGUAGGUUGGUCGUGCCGCUGGUAUGUACUGGUCUCACUGAUUCCUCCUUCCUGAUGAGCUGUAAUGCCAUUAAUUUGGUGUUGCAGGGAAUCUGGACUGUUACUUUGAAAAAUUAGAGUGUUUAAAGCAGGCUAACGCUUGAAUACAUUAGCAUGGAAUAAUGAAAUAGGACGUUCGAUCCUAUUUUGUUGGUUUCUAGGAUUGACGUAAUGAUUAAUAGGGAUAGUUGGGGCAUUAGUAUUCAAUUGUCAGAGGUGAAAUUCUUGGAUUUAUUGAAG